rnacentral:lncRNA from 1 species
AUUAUCAUUAUUGUUAUUUACACUACCACUUUUUAAAAAAUAGUAAGAGUAUUGUUCAAAAUCUUUUCAACCCCUCACCCCUUCCCCUUCCCUCUCCCCCUUUCUUCUCACUGCACCCUUUCCCCUCCAUUCCUCUCAAACUAUCACACUCUUACUUCCUCUUCUCAUUUUUCUCUUCCUUUGAGCCACAAACUCCUUCCUCUCACACAUUUCUCUCCCCCUCUCCCUUGCAUUUCCCCUUCAAGUCUCCCUUUGAUUUCGUUGUUACCCAUAAAG